GCAGAUUUUGAUUUGCUAUGGCUAUGAGCAGACAUCUACAGGCUUCUUACUGGGAAAUGGCUCUUUUCCCCUGCAUAACGAAUUCCAGAAGCUGAUGUUCCUCCAAGGAGCCCUCGGUGGAGAAGGCUUUGGAGACACAGAUCCUAAUUAAGCCAGACGCUGAUUUACUCCAUCAGUCCCUGUCAUACCAGCCUUCACCACCGAGGAGGGCACCCAGGACGCCUGCGGCCCGAAGCCCAGCGCAGACACCUGCCCCAGCUCGGCCGCACACAGAGGCCCUCCUGACCUUACUCUCAACGGCCUGUGUCCCAGUAUCCUUCUCACACGCGUGGACUCCGAGACCCCGUCAGGGUGCCCCUCACCCACCUGACACCACACUGGGUCCAUCCCCCUCUGAGAUAUGCAAUUCCCGCAAAGCCAGAGCCCCGAGUACACUUCCUCUGCCCUCGCCUGGCCUCGGACACCCACACAGGCGGAGGGGAAGAGCAGAGAAAUGAACAGGGAGGUGGGGGAUGCUCAGGGAGGGCCGCCCACGUCCUCGGGGCUCCCUUUCUUGGUUUCCACCUUUGCAACAAAGUGUCACCUGUCACCCUAUCAGACCCUAUCUGUGUUGGCCACCGGUGGCCCCAGCUUAGUCCUGUCCCCUCCCAAGUCCACAUUUUGGACUGCUGGCCUCCACCAUUUUGGAAUUGGCAGGA